GGUUAAGCGACUAAGCGUACACGGUGGAUGCCCUGGCAGUCAGAGGCGAUGAAGGACGUGCUAAUCUGCGAAAAGCGCCGGCGAGGUGAUAUGAACCUUUGACCCGGCGAUGUCCGAAUGGGGAAACCCAGUGUGAUUCGUCACACUAUCGUUAACUGAAUACAUAGGUUAACGAGGCGAACCGGGGGAACUGAAACAUCUAAGUACCCCGAGGAAAAGAAAUCAACCGAGAUUCCCCCAGUAGCGGCGAGCGAACGGGGAGCAGCCCAGAGUCUGAAUCAGCUUGUGUGUUAGUGGAACGGUCUGGAAAGUCCGGCGAUACAGGGUGACAGCCCCGUACACGAAAAUGCACAGGUUGUGAACUCGAAGAGUAGGGCGGGACACGUGGUAUCCUGUCUGAAUAUGGGGGGACCAUCCUCCAAGGCUAAAUACUCCUGACUGACCGAUAGUGAACCAGUACCGUGAGGGAAAGGCGAAAAGAACCCCGGCGAGGGGAGUGAAAAAGAACCUGAAACCGUGUACGUACAAGCAGUGGGAGCACCUUCGUGGUGUGACUGCGUACCUUUUGUAUAAUGGGUCAGCGACUUAUAUUCUGUAGCAAGGUUAACCGUAUAGGGGAGCCGAAGGGAAACCGAGUCUUAACUGGGCGUUAAGUUGCAGGGUAUAGACCCGAAACCCGGUGAUCUAGCCAUGGGCAGGUUGAAGGUUGGGUAACACUAACUGGAGGACCGAACCGACUAAUGUUGAAAAAUUAGCGGAUGACUUGUGGCUGGGGGUGAAAGGCCAAUCAAACCGGGAGAUAGCUGGUUCUCCCCGAAAGCUAUUUAGGUAGCGCCUCGUGAACUCAUCUUCGGGGGUAGAGCACUGUUUCGGCUAGGGGGCCAUCCCGGCUUACCAACCCGAUGCAAACUACGAAUACCGAAGAAUGUUAUCACGGGAGACACACGGCGGGUGCUAACGUCCGUCGUGAAGAGGGAAACAACCCAGACCGCCAGCUAAGGUCCCAAAGUCAUGGUUAAGUGGGAAACGAUGUGGGAAGGCACAGACAGCCAGGAUGUUGGCUUAGAAGCAGCCAUCAUUUAAAGAAAGCGUAAUAGCUCACUGGUCGAGUCGGCCUGCGCGGAAGAUGUAACGGGGCUAAACCAUGCACCGAAGCUGCGGCAGCGACACUAUGUGUUGUUGGGUAGGGGAGCGUUCUGUAAGCCGUUGAAGGUGUGCUGUGAGGCAUGCUGGAGGUAUCAGAAGUGCGAAUGCUGACAUAAGUAACGAUAAAGCGGGUGAAAAGCCCGCUCGCCGGAAGACCAAGGGUUCCUGUCCAACGUUAAUCGGGGCAGGGUGAGUCGACCCCUAAGGCGAGGCCGAAAGGCGUAGUCGAUGGGAAACAGGUUAAUAUUCCUGUACUUGGUGUUACUGCGAAGGGGGGACGGAGAAGGCUAUGUUAGCCGGGCGACGGUUGUCCCGGUUUAAGCAUGUAGGCGGAACGAUUAGGUAAAUCCGGUCGUUUUUUAACGCUGAGGUGUGAUGACGAGGCACUACGGUGCUGAAGUAACAAAUGCCCUGCUUCCAGGAAAAGCCUCUAAGCAUCAGGUAACACAAAAUCGUACCCCAAACCGACACAGGUGGUCAGGUAGAGAAUACCAAGGCGCUUGAGAGAACUCGGGUGAAGGAACUAGGCAAAAUGGUGCCGUAACUUCGGGAGAAGGCACGCUGAUAUGUAGGUGAAGCCCCUGCGGGUGGAGCUGAAAUCAGUCGAAGAUACCAGCUGGCUGCAACUGUUUAUUAAAAACACAGCACUGUGCAAACACGAAAGUGGACGUAUACGGUGUGACGCCUGCCCGGUGCCGGAAGGUUAAUUGAUGGGGUUAGCGGCAACGCGAAGCUCUUGAUCGAAGCCCCGGUAAACGGCGGCCGUAACUAUAACGGUCCUAAGGUAGCGAAAUUCCUUGUCGGGUAAGUUCCGACCUGCACGAAUGGCGUAAUGAUGGCCAGGCUGUCUCCACCCGAGACUCAGUGAAAUUGAACUCGCUGUGAAGAUGCAGUGUACCCGCGGCAAGACGGAAAGACCCCGUGAACCUUUACUAUAGCUUGACACUGAACACUGGUCCUUGAUGUGUAGGAUAGGUGGGAGGCUUUGAAGCGUGGACGCCAGUCUGCGUGGAGCCGACCUUGAAAUACCACCCUUUAAUGGCUGGUGUUCUAACGUAGACCCGUGAUCCGGGUUGCGGACAGUGUCUGGUGGGUAGUUUGACUGGGGCGGUCUCCUCCCAAAGAGUAACGGAGGAGCACGAAGGUUAGCUAAUCCUGGUCGGACAUCAGGAGGUUAGUGCAAUGGCAUAAGCUAGCUUGACUGCGAGAGUGACGGCUCGAGCAGGUGCGAAAGCAGGUCAUAGUGAUCCGGUGGUUCUGAAUGGAAGGGCCAUCGCUCAACGGAUAAAAGGUACUCCGGGGAUAACAGGCUGAUACCGCCCAAGAGUUCAUAUCGACGGCGGUGUUUGGCACCUCGAUGUCGGCUCAUCACAUCCUGGGGCUGAAGUAGGUCCCAAGGGUAUGGCUGUUCGCCAUUUAAAGUGGUACGCGAGCUGGGUUUAGAACGUCGUGAGACAGUUCGGUCCCUAUCUGCCGUGGGCGCUGGAGAAUUGAGGGGGGCUGCUCCUAGUACGAGAGGACCGGAGUGGACGCAUCACUGGUGUUCGGGUUGUCAUGCCAAUGGCAUUGCCCGGUAGCUAAAUGCGGAAGAGAUAAGUGCUGAAAGCAUCUAAGCACGAAACUUGCCCCGAGAUGAGUUCUCCCUGAGACUUUAAGUCUCCUGAAGGAACGUUGAAGACGACGACGUUGAUAGGUCGGGUGUGUAAGUGUAGCGAUACAUUGAGCUAACCGAUACUAAUGAACCGUGAGGCUUAACCUU
rnacentral:rRNA from 1 species